AUGUCGCUGAGAGCCACAUCUCACAGCAACCUGCAGUGCCUCUCCUCACCAAAGCCUCUGGCGCUGGACAACGGGAUAUACAAGUCUUUCUCCCUGAGCAGCAGCAAUAUGAAUGGGAACGGGGGAGGUGGCGGGAGGAUAGUGUUUGGGAAGGAGCAGGUGGAGGAGGUGAAGGGGUUCUCUACGCCACACAGGAGGCCUGUGCGGGCCGUCAGACCGGUUAGUGCCCACAGCGUUAACGUCAGCGGAUCCUUCCUACAGAUCAACCAUCUGCAAGGAGAGCUGGUGAGGAAGAGAAAGGAAUGUGAAGACCUAAAGAAGGAAAAUAAGUAUCUAUCCAAUGAGAUCCACAUGGAGCGGAUUAUGAUGCGGACAGAGAAUGAACUCACCAUGAGGAACCUGAGAAACCUUAACCAGGAGCUCCAGGCCCAGGUCAAAGAGCUGAAGCACAAGGUGUACCUGGCCCAGCAGAGGGCGACGUUGUGCACCCGAGUGGCGGAUGAGGCGACCGAUGCGCGGGGCGAGGCAGAGAAGCACAGGGCCCUUGCAGAGGCCCGGGCCCACAGCCUAAGGCAGGACAGAGAACUGACAGAGGCAGACAGGAGCCAACUGAGCGAGGACCUGCUGAAGCUAAAAAAACAGCACCAAGACGCUCAGCUUCUUCUGGCACAAACGGAGAAGAACUAUUUUGAGACAAGGCUGAAGCUAGACAGGAUAUCAGGAGAGAAACAGGCUCUGCUGGAAGAGAACAGAUGUCUCGAGGGGGACAGGGAUGCUCUGAGGCACAAACUCAGACAAGUGAUGGAUGAGAACACAAAAGUCAACGAAAAGGAGGUGAGUUCGAGGCGCAGGGCGUUGGUAGCGGAGGAGCAGAGUGAGAAGGACAGCCAGGCGAAGCAGGAAGCUAACCAGGAGAGGCGGCUGGUGGAGAAGGAGAGGCAGGAGCGCACAACCGAGUGUCUCAACUGGAGGGAGAAACAUCAGGCUCUGGCAGACAUCUUCAAAGCCCAGGAGGACCUCAAGUCUCAGAGGCAGAGCAAAGCAUGUCAAGCUACUAUCAAAAGCUUUUUCCUCUGCAUGACAGAAAAUGACCAGAGGGUGAAGAUUCUGAAGAAUCAAGAUGGCACUCCCAGGAACUUCACAGAAGGGGAUCCAAUCUUCAUCUCCACACCAGAGCAUGGGGCUGAGGAUGAUGACAGGAGCUCAUCCAGGAGCAUGUUCAGAGUAUCUGCCCCGCGAGUGGGAAAGGACCUGGGCCCAUCUCACUUUGGCGAUCUGUCUCCCGGCCUGGGAGGGGAGCACGAGGCCGGGCAUCCACGGAGAAGCAGGAAAACGGUGGAAUAUUUCUGGAUCCCAACAGAUGAGGAAUGA
rnacentral:lncRNA from 13 species